GAGAGAGAGAGGGAGAGAGGGAGAGAGAGAGCGAUGGAGAGAGAGAGAGUCAAAGAGACCGAGAAAUACCUAUAGCACUGUUCUUCUGCUUGUAAACUACCCCCCCCCGUAGGUGAGGAACAGGGACUUGAACUCCAGUCUUUGCUCAUAGUAAUGUGUGUGCUCUACCAAGUGCACACCCACACGACCCCUACGUCAGCCGCUUAACCAAUAGCCAUAUAGAAGACACAAGAUAGAUCCUGCUUUCAAGAAACUCAAGAGUCUGUGAGGAGAAAUGAACAACACAGAAACAGAAGUGAUUCUGACUCGGCAAGGCGGAGUGAGGCCUGAAGAGUUGCAGCUCGGAGAGAGAGGCUCCCAGGUGGUGCCAGUCAUGUUGGAGUAAAGACAACUCACAUUAUGAGGCAACGAGCAAGGACUCAGACCAGCCACAGCAGUCCCUGUCACAUCUACCAGGUUCCAGAUGCUGACAUGAUGUCAACUGGACCUCCCAUGGCAGACGACCUCACCAAUGAGUCUUGGAACCCCGCUCCCCCAGAGCUCUGCCCCACUAGAGAAAGAGAGAGACAGGCUGGGAGUAUGAAUCAACCUGUCAACACCCAUGUUCAGCGGGGAAGCAAUCACAGAAGCCAGACCUUCCACCUUCUGUACCCCACAAUGACCCUGGGUCCAUACUCCC